GACGAACGCUGGCGGCGUGCCUAAUACAUGCAAGUCGAACGCAGUGGGGACGGGUGAGUAACACGUGGGUGACCUCCCAUCAGAGGGGAUAACACUUGGCAACAGGUGCUAAACCGAUACUGAUGGAUGUACCCGCUGGGCAUGAGCUAGUUGGUGGGGUAACGGCUCACCAAGGCCACGAUGCAUAGCGGGUCUGAGAGGGUGAGCGGCCACACUGGGACUGAGACACGGCCCAGACUCCUACGGGAGGCAGCAGUAGGGAAUAGUCGGCAAUGGACGAAAGUCUGAUCGAGCAACGCCGCGUGAGUGAAGAAGGUCUUCGGAUCGUAAAACUCUGUUGGUAGAGAAGCGGUAUCUAACCAGAAAGCAACGGCUAACUACGUGCCAGCAGCCGCGGUAAUAC
rnacentral:rRNA from 1 species